rnacentral:rRNA from 1 species
CCUACGGGAGGCAGCAGUGGGGAAUAUUGGGCAAUGGAGGCAACUCUGACCCAGCAAUGCCGCGUGAGUGAUGAAGGUUUUCGGAUUGUAAACUCCUUUUGUUAGAGAAGAUAAUGACGGUAUCUAACGAAUAAGCACCGGCUAACUCCGUGCCAGCAGCCGCGGGAAUACGGAGGGUGCAAGCGUUACUCGGAAUCACUGGGCGUAAAGAGCGCGUAGGCGGGAUAGCAAGUCAGAUGUGAAAUCCUAUGGCUUAACCAUAGAACUGCAUUUGAAACUGUUAUUCUAGAGUAUGGGAGAGGUAGGUGGAAUUCUUGGUGUAGGGGUAAAAUCCGUAGAGAUCAAGAGGAAUACUCAUUGCGAAGGCGACCUGCUAGAACAUAACUGACGCUGAUGCGCGAAAGCGUGGGGAGCAAACAGGAUUAGAUACCCGGGUAGUC